UGAGGCGUUACCAACCUAGUCAAUUUCACAGUCCUCUCUCUGAGCAUCUCAAUAUGGCUGGGGUUCGGGCCGUUAGGCGGUCCAGCCGGCGACGGAAGAUGUAGAGAUGGUGGUGUUGGACGAAGAAGACAAGGAUCCAUUGAAUGCUCAGAUUGCCAUGGGAGCUAGCCUCCGUCAUCAACUUUUUGACGGUGUUUGAGCCAGUGAUUGGGGAAGCUUACUAAAGUAUCAGCGGAAGAGAUCGAGAUGGGUUUGAUAACCCCUAAAGAUUCACUUGCUCAGCUUCACAUUGCGCUUUUGAAGGGAAUACCACCAGCAAGUAAAACAUUGGAUAGUUCUGAUGCAUAUG